GAUGAAGAACGUAGCGAAAUGCGAUACGUAAUGUGAAUUGCAGAAUUCAGUGGAUCAUCGAAUCUUUGAACGCAUAUUGCGCUCUCUGGUAUUCCGGAGAGCAUGCUUGUUUGAGUAUCAGUAAACACCUCAACUUCCAUAUCUUUUUUGAAAUGGGAGUUGGACUUGAGUGAUCCCAACGCUUUUCCUCACCGAAAAGUGGCGGGUUACUUGAAAUGCAGGUGCAGCUGGACUUUUCUCUGAGCUAUAAGCAUAUCUAUUUAGUCUGCCUAAAAAACAGCUUAUUACCUUUGCUGCAGCUAACAUAAAGGAGAUUAGUUCUUGUGCUGACUGAUGCAGGAUUCACAAAGACAGGCUUCGGCCGACUUUGUAAACUCGAUCUCAUAUCAAGUAAGACUACCCGCUGAACUUAAGCAUAUCAAUAAGCGGAGGA
rnacentral:misc_RNA from 1 species